AGCUUGCUCUUAUGAAGUUAGCGGCGGACGGGUGAGUAACACGUGGGUAACCUGCCCAUAAGACUGGGAUAACUCCGGGAAACCGGGGCUAAUACCGGAUAACAUUUUGAACUGCAUGGUUCGAAAUUGAAAGGCGGCUUCGGCUGUCACUUAUGGAUGGACCCGCGUCGCAUUAGCUAGUUGGUGAGGUAACGGCUCACCAAGGCAACGAUGCGUAGCCGACCUGAGAGGGUGAUCGGCCACACUGGGACUGAGACACGGCCCAGACUCCUACGGGAGGCAGCAGUAGGGAAUCUUCCGCAAUGGACGAAAGUCUGACGGAGCAACGCCGCGUGAGUGAUGAAGGCUUUCGGGUCGUAAAACUCUGUUGUUAGGGAAGAACAAGUGCUAGUUGAAUAAGCUGGCACCUUGACGGUACCUAACCAGAAAGCCACGGCUAACUACGUGCCAGCAGCCGCGGUAAUACGUAGGUGGCAAGCGUUAUCCGGAAUUAUUGGGCGUAAAGCGCGCGCAGGUGGUUUCUUAAGUCUGAUGUGAAAGCCCACGGCUCAACCGUGGAGGGUCAUUGGAAACU
rnacentral:rRNA from 1 species